GUCUUCUGGACCUGAUCCAAAGCCCACUGAAAUCAGUGGGAUUUUCCACUGACUUCAGUAGGCUUUGGAUCAGGCCUCCAGUGC
rnacentral:pre_miRNA from 1 species